GCAUGGGUUUGGAUUUAUGGCAGGCCCGUCCCCCUGGGCCUCUCAUAGUGUCCCAUGCCACAGCGAAGGUGGCCCCGAACCAUGGCCUGGCCUCCGCACCGUAGGUGGCAGGCACUGAAGUGGGUCGCACACUG
ensembl:snoRNA